GUGGGGAAUAUUGGACAAUGGGGGCAACCCUGAUGGAGCGACGCCGCGUGGAGGAUAAGGUCUUCGGAUUGUAAACUCCUGUCAUGCGUGAACAAGGUUGCUUGGUUAAUACCUGGGCAAAUUGAUGGUAACGCAAGAGGAAGAGACGGCUAACUCUGUGCCAGCAGCCGCGGUAAUACAGAGGUCUCAAGCGUUGUUCGGAAUCACUGGGCGUAAAGGGUGCGUAGGUGGCGUGGUAAGUCAGAUGUGAAAGCCCGGGUCUCAACCUCGGAACUGCAUCCGAUACUGCCAUGCUAGAGUACUGGAGAGGUGACUAGAAUUCUCGGUGUAGCAGUGAAAUGCGUAGAUAUCGAGAGGAAUACCAAAGGCGUAGGCAGGUCACUGGACAGUUACUGACACUGAGGCACGAAGGCCAGGGGAGCGAACGGGAUUAGAUACCCCCGUAGUCC
rnacentral:rRNA from 1 species